UACGGAGGGUGCGAGCGUUGUCCGGAAUCACUGGGCGUAAAGGGCGCGUAGGCGGCCUGAUAAGUAGGGGGUGAAAUCCUGCGGCUUAACCGCAGGGCUGCCUUCUAAACUGUCAGGCUCGAGCACAGUAGAGGCAGGUGGAAUUCCCGGUGUAGCGGUGGAAUGCGUAGAGAUCGGGAAGAACAUCAGUGGCGAAGGCGGCCUGCUGGGCUGUUGCUGACGCUGAGGCGCGAGCAGCGUGGGGAGCAAACAGGAUUGAGAAACCCCGUGUAGU
rnacentral:rRNA from 1 species